rnacentral:rRNA from 1 species
AGUAACGCGUGGGUAACCUGCCCUUAAGUCUGGGAUACCAUUUGGAAACAGAUGCUAAUACCGGAUAAAAGCUACUUUCGCAUGAAAGAAGUUUAAAAGGCGGCGUAAGCUGUCGCUAAAGGAUGGACCUGCGAUGCAUUAGCUAGUUGGUAAGGUAACGGCUUACCAAGGCGAUGAUGCAUAGCCGAGUUGAGAGGCUGAUCGGCCACAUUGGGACUGAGACACGGCCCAAACUCCUACGGGAGGCAGCAGUC